rnacentral:tRNA from 1 species
GGGAAGGUGGCUCAGUGGUAGAGCUCUUGCCUUGCAUGCUCGAGGCCCUGGGUUCGAUUCCUCAGCCCCA